CAGACACCUCAUGCUGGCGAAGAAACUCCAGAUGAAGAACGAGAAUUAACGGAACCAAAUCCAGAGUCCAAUGGUGAAAUACAUGUAGGACAGAAUGGUGGGGCCCAGGCAAGCCACAGAGGAGAUACAGGACCUUGGGCAAGAUUUGUGGAAUAUUUGCGGAACUGUUCCAUCUUAACCAGUCAGCCCUGAACUAGAUGAACGCUGCGUUUAGCAUCC